rnacentral:tmRNA from 1 species
GGGGGCGUUCUGGAUUCGACGCCGGUUACAAAACCUGUAGUGCAUGCCGAGAUGGUGACCAAUCUCGUUAAUCCAAAGUCACAACUUUAUAGUUGCCAACGACGACAACUACGCACUAGCUGCUUAAACCCCAGUGUAGUGCCGUCUGACUGGAGCCGUGCUUAUGCGUCCAGAGUUUGAAGUCCCUUGGGAUUGAUAACAUUCAGGCGUCAUAUUUCAUAAGAUCGUAAUGAAGCUUGUUCGGGGUCGAUUUACUAAACACUAACCGAAAUCGCUGGUGGCAUUUCCUGACAGUCGGGUUGCAAACGGUUAAAUUUAAUAGACUGCUCUAAGCAUGUAGAGCUAUUGGCAGAGGACUGACGGACGCGGGUUCAAUUCCCGCCGCCUCCACCA